CCAAUAGCGUAUAUUAAAGUUGUUGCAGUUAAAAAGCUCGUAGUUGAAUUUCGGGGUCAGUAGGCUGGUCGUGCCACUGGUAUGUACUGGUCUCACUGAUUCCUCCUUCCUGAUGAACCGUAAUGCCAUUAAUUUGGUGUUGCGGGGAAUUUGGACUGUUACUUUGAAAAAAUUAGAGUGUUUAAAGCAGGCUAACGCUUGAAUACAUUAGCAUGGAAUAAUGAAAUAGGACGUUCGAUCCUAUUUUGUUGGUUUCUAGGAUUGACGUAAUGAUUAAUAGGGAUAGUUGGGGGCAUUAGUAUUCAAUUGUCAGAGGUGAAAUUCUUGGAUUUAUUGAAGACUAACUACUGCGAAAGCAUUUGCCAAGGAUGUUUUCAUUAAUCAGUGAACGAAAGUUAGGGGAUCGAAGACGAUCAGAUACCGUCGUAGUCUUAACCGUAAACUAUGCCGACUAGGGAUCGGGCGAUGUUCUUUUUCUGACUCGCUCGGCACCUUACG
rnacentral:rRNA from 1 species